rfam:Jatropha curcas cultivar GZQX0401 scaffold8_48, whole genome shotgun sequence.
CAACCAUAAUGAAGGCAUUGCCUUUGAAUGUCUCUAUACCUUUCCUAAGCUUUAAAAAGACUCUCAUCAGGUUUUUGCUUGGAAGUAGCAAUCUCCGUCUUGAGUUU